rnacentral:misc_RNA from 1 species
GGAUUUCAGGAUUGACCGACCCGAGCCGACAUGCCUUCAGUACAGGCCGAGGUGGGUGGCGGUUGGAGACCGAAGCAGCAGCAGUACCCUCUGGAGAUCCGCGAGGUGUGGGCGGACAACGUGGAGCGCGAGUUCAAGCUCAUCCGCGCCGCCAUCGAGCGCUUCCCCUACGUGUCCAUGGACACGGAGUUCCCGGGCGUCAUCCACCACCCUCCCCCGUCCGUCCACCACUCGGCGCUCACCCCGCCGCAGCGCUACGCGCUGCUCAAGUCCAACGUCGACGCGCUGCACCUCAUCCAGGUGGGCCUGGCCUUCGCGCCGUCCGCCUCGUCCCCGCCCGCGCUCGCCUUCCAGGUCAACCUCCGCGAGUUCGACCCGCGCCUGCACCGCCACGCGCCCGACUCCGUGCGCCUGCUCGCCGCCAGCGGCCUCGACCUGCCCGCGCACCGUGCCAGGGGCGUCAGCGCGCGCGCCUUCGCCGCGCUGCUCAUGUCCUCGGGCCUCGUCUGCAACCCGGACGUGGCCUGGGUCACCUUCGCCUCCGCCUACGACAUGGCCUACCUCGUCAAGGUGCUCAUGGGGCGCAAGCUGCCGAGGGCGCUCCCGGAGUUCCUCCGCUACGUCCGCGUCUACUUCGGCAACGCAGUGUACGACGUCAAGCACAUGGCGAGGGUAGCCUCCGCCCCCGCGCUGCUCGGCGGGCUCGAGCGCGUCGCCGCCGCGCUCCGGGUGCGCCGCGCCGCGGGCCGGAGCCACCAGGCGGCGUCCGACAGCGUGCUCACGUGGGACACCUUCCGGGAGAUGGCCAGGCUCUACUUCCCCAAGGAAGGCAGCCUGGAGAUGUGCGCCGGCGUGCUCUACGGCCUCGAGCUCCACGACGACGACGGCCGCGGCACCAAGCCGCGGGCCGAGUACGCGCUGCUGAGAUGAUCAAGAAUACCAUAGCUUGUUCGUGUUAUCAUCUUGUACAGUGCAGUCAGUUCCACCCGAACUGAAUUCGGGGCGGGAAAUAACAUAAAGAAAGACAAGCAAGCACGGUUCUUUGAUUGGAUAAUAAAUUCUUCUAGGC